AAUAAUUUUUUUAAAGAUUUAUUGAUUCAUUUGAGAGAGUGUGAGUGGGGGAGGGGUGCAGGGAAUGAGAAUCUCAGGCAGACUCCCCACUGAGCGCAGAGCCCCUGGGGCUCCAUCCCACAACCCUCAGAUCCUAACCUGAACAAAACCAAGGGUCCGAUGUUUAACCCAGGCAUCCCAAGGACACACCAAAGUUUAAGAAGCCAAGAGCUACACAGGAGCUCAAGGAUAAUCCAAAGGGGAGAAAAAGAAAGGGAAUUAGGAAAGAAUGAGAACAGAUGAGAGUGUAAAGUGCAGCUGAGAUGACUUGGGAAAGUGUCUUCCUUAUAGGGGGACUAGGGGGCACUGGUGCAUUUAGUAGGAGAAGCUUUAGGACAGCAGUGAGGAGAGGGCAGGAAAGUGUGCCGUGAGUUGCGGGGUGAAUGGGACAGGAAAGAAUGAAGACUGUGGUCAACCCUCUCCCAGAGGAUGAGCUGAGAAAGAGCCUAAAAGAGGAGUACACGACUAAGGGAAAUGCUGUAGAACAUGAACUUGUUUAUAUGCUGCGGGGGGGCGGGGUAGGGCGGUCACAAGGCCCCUGAGAUAGGAGAGGAGAGCCAAGGUCCUGCAGGUGAUGAAGAGCAAGGGUGGGUGGGGGACGUCGGAAGGUAGGGGGCAGGAUUCCUUCUCCAGAUCUGCAGGGAGGGCUGUGUGGAUGGGAGCUGGAGGGCGCCCAGGUGCGGCUCACAGGUGAUUCGCCUCCAGCACGUCGGGCCAAUUAGUAGUUAGAGGGUUUGUGGUUCUGGAUGGAUGUAGUGAGUGUGGUGGAGUCGGAGACAAGUCAGAGAAGAUAGUGCCCAUGUGGCUGGGGAUAGAGGCCUAGAAAGAACGGAGGGCCCGUUGCUGAGGCCACUAAAGGCGCUGGGUGGUGCAACACGGAGCCACCACCAGGCUCUUCCUCGAGGGCUGCUCCAACCUGCCGCAGGAAGUCGUCAUUACCAAGUAGGAAGCCAAAAAAUUCAUCUGACUCCCUUAUUGCGAUACUCGCUCUACUGUGGCGUUCUGGAACCAAGCCAGCAGUAUCUUGGAGCGCUCCUACUCUGAAGUGCAUUGGCCUGACUGUGCUACGUGCCACCGCCGAUCCCCGGCCUGGGCGGUUCCCCACGGACGCCGAACCGCAGCAGAGUCCAAAGCCACAGCUGCGGUCUGUGGCAUCAGACACCGGAGGGCUGACUGGCGGUACCUCUGCCCUCCCUGGGCUCCCCCACGGGCUGCUGUGGAAACGCCACGCCCCCGGCCGGUGGGGCUCCAGCCAGUCUCCUCGGGCCAGCAGCUGAGAAAGGGCUCCCUGCUUUUUUUCUUUUUCUUUUAAAAAAAUCAGACAGAGCUAGUAGCUUCAAGGGGUUCCAAAACUUCCUCGCCCCGUCUGGACCCAAAAGCAAGAGCUAAUUUUUAAAAGCCAAAUUCCUGUUUCAGUUGGACAGAAGGAAUAAUGGGUCUUUCAUAUUUUCUUUGUAUUUCUCUUCAAUAGUUGCUUGACCCAACAUCUGUCUGCUCUAUACAAUGAAAAUACAAACUAAAUGAGAAUAGAAAAAAAUAAUUAAAGCAUUAAAUUGUACAAAUUACAAAUCUGUUCCAAAAUAUACUUACAUUAAAUAAAAUACGCAUUUCAGUAAGA